UUAAGUUAAUAAGGGCGCACGGUGGAUGCCUUGGCACUAGAAGCCGAUGAAGGACGUGACUAACAACGAAAUGCUUUGGGGAGCUGUAAGUGAGCAAUGAUCCAGAGAUGUCCGAAUGGGGGAACCCGGCAGGUAAUGCCUGUCACUCAUUACUGUUAAGGUAAUGUAGAGGAAGACGCAGUGAACUGAAACAUCUAAGUAGCUGCAGGAAGAGAAAGCAAAAGCGAUUGCCUUAGUAGCGGCGAGCGAAACGGCAAGAGGGCAAACCGAAGAGUUUACUCUUCGGGGUUGUAGGACUGCAACGUGGACUUAAAGAUUAUAGAAGAACUACCUGGGAAGGUAGGCCAAAGAGAGUAAUAGCCUCGUAUUCGAAAUAGUCUUUAUACCUAGCAGUAUCCUGAGUACGGCGAGACACGAGAAAUCUCGUCGGAAUCUGGGAGGACCAUCUCCCAACCCUAAAUACUCUCUAGUGACCGAUAGUGAACCAGUACCGUGAGGGAAAGGUGAAAAGCACCCCGGGAGGGGAGUGAAAUAGAACCUGAAACCGUGUGCCUACAACAAGUUCGAGCCCGUUAAUGGGUGAGAGCGUGCCUUUUGUAGAAUGAACCGGCGAGUUACGAUAUGAUGCGAGGUUAAGUUGAAGAGACGGAGCCGUAGGGAAACCGAGUCUUAAUAGGGCGCAUUAGUAUCAUGUCGUAGACCCGAAACCAUGUGACCUACCCAUGAGCAGGUUGAAGGUGAGGUAAAACUCACUGGAGGACCGAACCAGGGCACGUUGAAAAGUGCUUGGAUGACUUGUGGGUAGCGGAGAAAUUCCAAACGAACUUGGAGAUAGCUGGUUCUCUCCGAAAUAGCUUUAGGGCUAGCGUCGAUGUUAAGUCUCUUGGAGGUAGAGCACUGUUUGGGUGAGGGGUCCAUCCCGGAUUACCAAUCUCAGAUAAACUCCGAAUGCCAAUGAGAUAUAAUCGGCAGUCAGACUGCGAGUGCUAAGAUCCGUAGUCGAAAGGGAAACAGCCCAGACCACCAGCUAAGGUCCCAAAAUAUAUGUUAAGUGGAAAAGGAUGUGGGGUUGCACAGACAACUAGGAUGUUAGCUUAGAAGCAGCUAUUCAUUCAAAGAGUGCGUAAUAGCUCACUAGUCGAGUGACCCUGCGCCGAAAAUGUACCGGGGCUAAAACAUAUUACCGAAGCUGUGGAUACCUUUAUAGGUAUGGUAGGAGAGCGUUCUAUGUGCGAAGAAGGUGUACCGUGAGGAGUGCUGGAGCGCAUAGAAGUGAGAAUGCCGGUAUGAGUAGCGAAAGACAGGUGAGAAUCCUGUCCACCGUAAGACUAAGGUUUCCAGGGGAAGGCUCGUCCGCCCUGGGUUAGUCGGGACCUAAGGAGAGACCGAAAGGUGUAUCCGAUGGACAACAGGUUGAUAUUCCUGUACUAGAGUAUAUAGUGAUGGAGGGACGCAGUAGGCUAACUAAACCAGACGAUUGGAAGUGUCUGGCCAAGCAGUGAGGUGUGAUAUGAGUCAAAUGCUUAUAUCUCUAACAUUGAGCUGUGAUGGGGAGCGAAGUUUAGUAGCGAAGUUAGUGAUGUCACACUGCCGAGAAAAGCUUCUAGCGUUAAUUAUACUCUACCCGUACCGCAAACCGACACAGGUAGUCGAGGCGAGUAGCCUCAGGUGAGCGAGAGAACUCUCGUUAAGGAACUCGGCAAAAUGGCCCCGUAACUUCGGGAGAAGGGGCGCUGACUGAUGGUCAGCCGCAGUGAAUAGGCCCAAGCAACUGUUUAUCAAAAACACAGCUCUCUGCUAAAUCGUAAGAUGAUGUAUAGGGGGUGACGCCUGCCCGGUGCUGGAAGGUUAAGAGGAGUGCUUAGCGUAAGCGAAGGUAUGAAUUGAAGCCCCAGUAAACGGCGGCCGUAACUAUAACGGUCCUAAGGUAGCGAAAUUCCUUGUCGGGUAAGUUCCGACCCGCACGAAAGGCGUAAUGAUUUGGGCACUGUCUCAACGAGAGACUCGGUGAAAUUUUAGUACCUGUGAAGAUGCAGGUUACCCGCGACAGGACGGAAAGACCCCAUGGAGCUUUACUGCAGUUUGAUAUUGAGUAUCUGUACCACAUGUACAGGAUAGGUAGGAGCCUAUGACCUCGGGACGCCAGUUUCGAGUGAGGCGUUGUUGGGAUACUACCCUUGUGUUAUGGCUACUCUAACCCAGAUAGGUUAUCCCUAUCGGAGACAGUGUCUGACGGGCAGUUUGACUGGGGCGGUCGCCUCCUAAAAGGUAACGGAGGCGCCCAAAGGUUCCCUCAGAAUGGUUGGAAAUCAUUCGCAGAGUGUAAAGGUAUAAGGGAGCUUGACUGCGAGAGCUACAACUCGAGCAGGGACGAAAGUCGGGCUUAGUGAUCCGGUGGUUCCGUAUGGAAGGGCCAUCGCUCAACGGAUAAAAGCUACCCUGGGGAUAACAGGCUUAUCUCCCCCAAGAGUUCACAUCGACGGGGAGGUUUGGCACCUCGAUGUCGGCUCAUCGCAUCCUGGGGCUGAAGUAGGUCCCAAGGGUAUGGCUGUUCGCCCAUUAAAGCGGCACGCGAGCUGGGUUCAGAACGUCGUGAGACAGUUCGGUCCCUAUCCGUCGCGGGCGUAGGAAAUUUGAGAGGAUCUGCUCCUAGUACGAGAGGACCAGAGUGGACUUACCGCUGGUGUACCAGUUGUUCUGCCAAGAGCAUCGCUGGGUAGCUAUGUAGGGAAGGGAUAAACGCUGAAAGCAUCUAAGUGUGAAGCCCACCUCAAGAUGAGAUUUCCCAUGAUUUUAUAUCAGUAAGAGCCCUGAGAGAUGAUCAGGUUGAUAGGUUAGAAGUGGAAGUGUGGUGACACAUGUAGCGGACUAAUACUAAUAGCUCGAGGACUUAUCCAA
rnacentral:rRNA from 1 species